AUCCCAAUCUUAUCGAUCUUACGGCCUACAGUAGCCGGAUUCCCUUAUUGUCAUUUUCGCAAAACUCCACCAUCAAAUUAAUCCCCAGUUCGAGAAAUUACGUAAGCCAUUGUUAUUAUUAUUCUUCUCCAUUCACCUUAAGCCACCAAUCCCAUCUCGACAACGAGAUCCCAUUUCCCCAAUCACUUCAAUUAAAAAAUCUUGGCGUAGCUAUUUAAUUUGCUCACGUUAGUAAGAUGGAGUUAAAGAAAGUGUGUAAGAGACCCACACGGUGUUUACUAAGUCUUGUCUCCCUCUUUUACUCCCAUCCCCACCACAUGUAUCAUGAAAUGAUUAUACGAUGACGAUGAGAUGAGAUUAGAAACAACUCAAAACUCAAAAAGUGAACUUGUUGUAAUCAAACUGAUGGUUGGUUCAUGAUUCAUCUUCAUCUUCAAGAAGAGAUCCAACCACUUUUAUGUUCUGGCUUUCUUUUUCUUAUAUAAAAGUCAACUCGAACACUAAUUUGAUUUGGCUUCGAGUCCAAGCAAUGAUUAUCAAAUACCAAAGAUUUUCUACUGUUCUACAAAUAUAUAUGAGAGAUGGGAUAGAAGUGUCUGGAAGACAUUAAAAAGAAAGAAGCUGACAGAAGAGAGUGAGCAUAUGCAAGCAAUUGUAUAGAGAGGUAUACACUUGUUUCUAUGCGUGUGCUCACUUCUCUUGCUGUCAGCUCCUCUUACACCUGUGUAACAACUAUUACAGUAACCUACAUCACCUUUUUUCUCGUAUUUUAUGUGUUUUUAUAUUCAUGCUUUGUGUCUUCUAACGCGUUUCAUUGGAUAAGGGAGAAGCUAUAGAGUGACACCUGGACAGACCUGUCGAUGCCGACACUAUCAUCUACCGUCCACUUGCUACUCACCACCACUGUAUUCAAGAAAAAGCUGCAACUUCUGAUGACUGAUUAAGUGAUUAUACAUACACCUUAUCUCUAUGUCUCCUUCUCUCUCUACUUCUUUUUAUUUUUUUUUGACCUUUUCAUACUCUUGAUCUGUCUAUUACAAUAGUAGCUUGACCAGAUUCAGAUUUUAAGAAUGAAGAAGACGACCUUUGGAACAGCAGGUAGAGACUAGAUGUGUAUUGUGUGUACCUUCUUGUUAUUUUUUGUACUAUUUAUGAUGAUUGAUUUAUUUAAUGUGUUCUCUCCCUUUUAUCUAUGUAUUUACUUUUAUUAUUAUAAUAUUCAACUUUGGAGUUUGAAUCCUGUACUUGUUCUUGAUGAAGAGCAAGAAGAGGGUUUUUUCUUGAUAUCAUUAACAAGGUACGUACAUACCGUUCUUUUCGUAACUGCAGUUUAACCGUUUUCUUUAUUUUUCUUUCAAAGAAGUUGAAAACGUUCUAUAUGGUUUCUCCCAAAUCUACCUUUUUUCCAUCUUUUCGACGUUUCUUACUGAUUUGAACUCCAAAAUCCAUCUGGGUGUGUUUAAAUUUCGAUAGUCUGAUAGAAAAGACAGGUACUUUUAGAAAGAGAUGGGCUGAUUUAAGCAUGGUAUCAGAACAAGGGUUUCUUUGUAUACAGUAGCAACUAUUUGUAACAUACUGUGUGUUGUAUGUGUAGGUAUAUCAUAUGAAGCUUUUGUAAAAAAAAAAGAUUUUCAAAAUGGGAAACAUCACAUGACCCGGAUCCUUUUUCUGGAGUGGAAGAACGAUUGAGAUGGCGAAGGAUGCAUGCAAUCAAAUCUUGGAAAGUCUUUGGCUUUCUAUAUUAUAAGGAGACACCAAAUCAAAGACAAAUUUUCAGGAAGGGUUUAAGCAUACAAUACAAGUUCUUACCAAGGAUAUGGCUAGCUGCUUGGUGUUUUGGGGGCAAGACACAGCUCUUUCUUCUGGUGAAAUCUUGAUUACCAAGUUGCUAGUUAAAGAAUGAGUUCAAGUUCAAAUGCCACCGGCAUCAUAAUGGAAACUCCGGAUUCAAACAAAAACCAAGAAACAUCAAAGCUCCAAAAACAAGGUCCGCACUAAGGAGUCAUCCUGCAAUAAAAUAAGAACAAGGGAAGCCCAAAUAUACUUCAACAAUGAGUGCAUUUGGCUCAGGGCUUUCAACUCGGAAAAAGAAGCCGGAAUGGAAUAUGAUUCUGCAGCCCUUAAACUCCGGAAUAGCAAUUCCGCUUGUAAUUUCCCCAAGACAAACACAAAUCAUCCUUUCAAAAACUGUUGACGUUUGAAGCCAUGUUAAACAUGAUCAAAGACGGUUGGUACCCUACUAAACUGUCAAAUUACAUUAAUACCCAUGGGAAAGCCAAACAAGACUACAUUGUUGCUAGUUGCUACUCAAGACAUGCCACACGAAGGGCGUUUUCGGGAAAAAACUAUUUCAUAAGGAGCAUACUACGAGUGAUGUUGGGACACUGAACCUGCUUUUGAUUCCAAAACGAGUGGCUUUUGAAGUAUUUCCCUCAGAUUCCGGCGUCAUAGAAGUUGAGUUGACAUUCUGGGAUGGAUGGAAUGAUGAGGGUAUGGAGAUUCCGGUUCUGUGAUUGGAUAUGUAGCCAAAGUUUUGUUUUUCAUAAGACAAUGGAAUCGGUUUGUGAGGGUAAACUAUUUUGGGGUGUGCGAAUCCUUUGGAUUAUUUUGGUUUGAUUAAUUAGGUUUCAAAUCCUUUUGCUUUGUUGCGUUUUAUUGGACUUCUUAAUGGGGAUUCUAAGAUUGCUUAUAUUCCCUUUAUUAUGUGUCUUAUUAAAAGGGGGAAUACAAGUUGCUUUUACAAUGAGGGCGGUUUUAAAUUUUCAAUUAGAAAAGUUAAUUUCUAAUAA